rnacentral:rRNA from 1 species
CCUACGGGAGGCAGCAGUGAGGAAUAUUGGUCAAUGGCCGAGAGGCUGAACCAGCCAAGUCGCGUGAGGGAAGACGGCCCUACGGGUUGUAAACCUCUUUUGUCGGGGAGCAAAGCGAGUCACGUGUGACUCAUUGAGAGUACCCGAAGAAAAAGCAUCGGCUAACUCCGUGCCAGCAGCCGCGGUAAUACGUAGGGGGCAAGCGUUAUCCGGAUUUACUGGGUGUAAAGGGAGCGUAGACGGCAGCACAAGUCUGGAGUGAAAUGCCGGGGCUUAACCCCGGAACUGCUUUGGAAACUGUGCAGCUAGAGUGCAGGAGAGGUAAGUGGAAUUCCUAGUGUAGCGGUGAAAUGCAUAGAUAUCGCGCAGAACUCCGAUUGCGAAGGCAGCAUGCCGGCUCCACACUGACGCUGAGGCACGAAAGCGUGGGUAUCGAACAGGAUUAGAUACCCCAGUAGUC